GGAUCCGUCACGGCCAUUCAUCGACAUAGUUUUUAGUGUUUUUUUAGAGGCAGUUGUUUCUGAGAUAUUCAGAAGAUAUUUGGAAGUUGGACGUCUAAUGUAUGUUUGACAAAAUACUUGAAUAACUAUAGAAAUGACUAUAUAAAUGAUUGAUUAUUGGUAAUGGAUAGGACGUCCCCAUUAUGAAUAAAUGCCCACGGGGUAGCGUUCCUGAAGUAUAAGCCCCCAUAGAUACCACCAUCACGG